UUGUGUCAAUAUGCGAUGAUGUGUUGUGAUGACACAGCGUCAUCACGUGGUGACGCAACAU
rnacentral:pre_miRNA from 1 species